rnacentral:rRNA from 1 species
GACGUAGGAGGCGAGCGUUGUCCGGAUUCAUUGGGCGUAAAGAGCACGCAGGCGGUUUGGCAAGUCGGAUGUGAAAACCCGGAGCUCAACUCCGGACCUGCAUCCGAAACUGCCCGACUAGAGGUAGGUAGGGGAGAUCGGAAUUCCUGGUGUAGCGGUGAAAUGCGCAGAUAUCAGGAGGAACACCGGUGGCGAAGGCGGGUCUCUGGGCCGAUGACUGACGCUGAGGAGCGAAAGCGUGGGGAGCAAACAGG